UUACCCGCAGAAGAAGCACCGGCUAACUCCGUGCCAGCAGCCGCGGUAAUACAGAGGGUGCAAGCGUUAAUCGGAAUUACUGGGCGUAAAGCGCACGCAGGCGCUUCCGUUAAGUCAGAUGUGAAAUCCCCGGGCUCAACCUGGGAACUGCAUCUGAUACUGGCAAGCUUGAGUCUCGUAGAGGGGGGUAGAAUUCCAGGUGUAGCGGUGAAAUGCGUAGAGAUCUGGAGGAAUACCGGUGGCGAAGGCGGCCCCCUGGACGAAGACUGACGCUCAGGUGCGAAAGCGUGGGGAGCAAACAGGAUUAGAUACCCUGGUAGUCCACGCCGUAAACGAUGUCGACUGGGAGGUUGUGCCCUUGAGGCGUGGCUUCCGGAGCUAACGCGUUAAGUCGACCGCCUGGGGAGUACGGCCGCAAGGUUAAAACUCAAAUGAAUUGACGGGGGCCCGCACAAGCGGUGGAGCAUGUGGUAUAAUUCGAUGCAACGCGAAGAACCUUACCUGGUCUUGACAUCCACGGAAGUUUUCAGAGAUGAGAAUGUGCCUUCGGGAACCGUGAGACAGGUGCUGCAUGGCUGUCGUCAGCUCGUGUUGUGAAAUGUUGGGUUAAGUCCCGCAACGAGCGCAACCCUUAUCCUUUGUUGCCAGCGGUCCGGCCGGGAACUCAAAGGAGACUGCCAGUGAUAAACUGGAGGAAGGUGGGGAUGACGUCAAGUCAUCAUGGCCCUUACGACCAGGGCUACACACGUGCUACAAUGGCGCAUACAAAGAGAAGCGACCUCGCGAGAGCAAGCGGACCUCAUAAAGUGCGUCGUAGUCCGGAUUGGAGUCUGCAACUCGACUCCAUGAAGUCGGAAUCGCUAGUAAUCGUGGAUCAGAAUGCCACGGUGAAUACGUUCCCGGGCCUUGCACUCACCGCCCGUCA
rnacentral:rRNA from 1 species